rnacentral:misc_RNA from 1 species
GAUGAAGAACGUAGUGAAAUGCGAUAAGUAGUGUGAAUUGCAGAAUUCCGUGAAUCAUCGAAUCUUUGAACGCACAUUGCGCCUCCUGGUAAUCCGUGAGGCAUGCCUGUUCGAGCGUCACCAAAAUCAAAUCAACCACUCCGGUGAUUGGUCAUGGAGGAAGAGUCCGUCGUGUUGUGGUCUCCCCUCCCAAAAUAAAUGGCGGAAAGUUGCUGGCACUCGGUGUAGGAGUAUUAUUCGCCGAUUGUCCAGUGUCGUUCCUGCCGUCAAAUCCCCACAAUUAUCUUGAUUGACCUCGGAUCAGGUAGGGAUACCCGCUGAACUUAAGCAUAUCAAUAAGCGGAGGA